rnacentral:lncRNA from 1 species
AAAUAUAUUUAAAUUUAAAAAUAUAAAUAAAUCACAUUAAAGAAAUUUAAAUUUAAUUUCCAAAGCAAUCAAUAUUAUUUAAAAUAAGUAAAUUACAUUAAAGAAAUUUAAAUUUAAGCAUAUAAAUAAAUCACAUUAAAGAAAUUUAAAUUUAAUUUCCAAAGCAAUCAAUAUUAUUUAAAAUAAGUAAAUUACAUUAAAGAAAUUUAAAUUAAAAAAUAUAAAUAAAUCACAUUAAGGAAAUGUAAAUUUCAUUUCAAAAAUAAUCAAUAUUAUUUAAAAUAAAUUACAUUAAAGAAAUUUAAAUUUAAAAAUAAAUAAAUCACAUUAAGGAAAUUUAAAUUUAAUUUCAAAAAUAAUCAAUAUUAUUUAAAAUAAAUUACAUUAAAGAAAUUUAAAUUUAAAAAUAUAAAUAAAUCACAUUAAGGAAAUUUAAAUUAAAUUUUAAAAUAAAUAAUAAAUAUCACUUGAAUGAAUAAAUUAAAGAAACUCACAUUAAAUUUAAAAAAUAAAUUAAAAAUAAAUAAAUUUUCCUUAAAUAAUAAAUAAAAUAAAUAAAUGAUAAAACUCCAGGACAAGUCAGGAGGUGCUGGAAUUAGAAAUCCCCCAAAAGCAGGUGGAGAAAGGGCCAAGCAGUCAUCGCCAGAUAAGGCACUGAAUUCACUGAGAUUUGUGUUUCCUUCCUGUCCUUUGAAUCUAAAUGAGAAACAUACUGAGAGUCAUAAAAACUCCCCGUCCUUCCUUUUCAGUUGCAAUGGAACUCAUUGCCGAAGAGGAGGCAUUCGAGGCCUGUCCCAAACGGAACAUGGCACCAGAGAGGCGUCAUUUUGGUGACUGGACUGGAGGGGAUCCAUCGAUGGCAAAGAAAAAGAGAGCGAUGACUGCAACGGCGAGCGGGACCGGGGGCUGGCCAGGAAAGACUUUCUCCCUGAUGAAGCUAUUGUGGACCUUCCUAAAGUCAUGCAUUGGCCUGGAGAUUAAAAGCUGGAAGAGCCCUUGGAAGCUAUUGAAUCUGUCUCUCGUUUUACAGACAUGGAAACUGAGGCACAAUAAUAAACCGAAUGAUGGGCUCUGGAAGCUUCCUUGACUUUCAGUCCCAGUGGGCUAGCUUUUGUCCCUUUGGCAAAUGCUGCCAACUUUGCAUCCUGCAACCUCAAGAGAGUCUGACCCCUCCUGACCUACUGGUGGAUGAGCAUAAAUUGAAAAAAUGUGGGUUCUCAGAGGGGUCCAGGGACCCAGAGACCCAAGGAUCCCCAGUGAAAAUGGGAGAGAACUUAGUAAACUCCAAGAAAAGAUGUUGUGAUGAAUAGAAAAUAAUUUGGAUGCUCUGAGCUAUUUGCACAAAAGACUUCUGAUUGCUCUUUUAUCUUACUAACGCAUGGGCAGUUGAGAGUGGAUCAUAUAUUCUAUGUGAGGUUAGGGAGUUAUGUGGCACAGCAUUAAACCCAGAGUCAAGAAGACCCACAGUUUGAAUCCAAUCAGAGACACUUACUAGCUGUAUGACCCUGGACAAGUCACUUAAUCCCUAUUUGCCUCAAUUUUUGUCAUCUGUCAAAAGAGCUGGAGAAGGAAAUAGCAAGUCACUCCAGUUCUCUGCUAAGAAAACUCCCGAGUAAGAUAUGACUGAAAUGACUGAACAAGAACAACAAAGAAAAUGGAGAUAAUAAUAAUACCUACCUCCCAAAGUUGUUGUAAGGAUCAAUCAAGAUCAAUCAGUAAAGUACCUGGCACAUAGUGGGUUCUAUAGAAAUGUGAGCCAUACGUAUCUGCCCAUAUGUUUUUUAAUCUCUUGAAACAUUUUUUCAGGGUCUGGAUCAAUUAUUUUAUUAUUGUGAUGGAGAGUGUCCAGUAAAUAAAUGAGCACUGCCUCACA